rnacentral:pre_miRNA from 7 species
UUCCCAGAAGAUGUCACUGUAAGACCUCCUUUCAGGGACCCCCACUCUAGUCUUGGGAGAGAGAGCACACCCAAAGAAACAUGAGAAUCU